CCUACGGGAUGCAGCAGUGAGGAAUAUUGGUCAAUGGACGAGAGUCUGAACCAGCCAAGUCGCGUGAAGGAUGACUGCCCUAUGGGUUGUAAACUUCUUUUAUAAAGGAAUAAAACGAGGCACGUGUGCCUUUUUCCAUGUAUUUUAUGAAUAAGGCUCGGCUAACUCCGUGCCAGCAGCCGCGGUAAUACGGAGGAUCCGAGCGUUAUACGGAUUUAUUGGGUUUAAAGGGAGCGUAGAUGGGUUGUUAAGUCAGUUGUGAAAGUUUUCGGCUCAACCGGAAAAUUGCAAUUGAUACUGGCAGUCUUGAGUACAGUUGAGGUAGGCGGAAUUCGUGGUGUAGCGGUGAAAUGCUUAGA
rnacentral:rRNA from 1 species